UGCGCCCUACGGGGCCAGGUACUUCAGCACCAGCAGGUCGCGGCAGAGGCCAUGGUGGAGCUUCUGGCACUAGCGGUCCUUCGAACCGCAUUUAUGCUCUGUCCAGCCGCCAGGAUCAGGAGGCAUCGCCUAAUGUCGUUACAGAUUUUCGACGAAACGGAGAGUGAGCUUGGAUAGGCUUAAAAAGCUCAAAAGGUACCGACGACAGGUUUGCUGAUCCGUCCGCUUAGGAUCUCAUUCUGCUAUUUUUGGAGCGCUCUUUUAUUCAGAGCCAUCUUUUGGUACAAUCUGUUACUUCUAUAUGUGUAUAUUCUCG